GUGGGGAAUAUUGGACAAUGGGGGAAACCCUGAUCCAGCCAUGCCGCGUGAGUGAAGAAGGCCCUAGGGUUGUAAAGCUCUUUCGACGGGGACGAUGAUGACGGUACCCGUAGAAGAAGCCCCGGCUAACUUCGUGCCAGCAGCCGCGGUAAUACGAAGGGGGCAAGCGUUGUUCGGAUUUACUGGGCGUAAAGGGCGCGUAGGCGGAUUCGUAAGUCAGAGGUGAAAGCCCUGGGCUCAACCCGGGAAUGGCCUUUGAGACUGCAAGUCUUGAGUGCGAGAGAGGGUGGCGGAAUACCCAGUGUAGAGGUGAAAUUCGUAGAUAUUGGGUAGAACACCGGUGGCGAAGGCGGCCACCUGGCUCGCAACUGACGCUGAGGCGCGAAAGCGUGGGGAGCAAACAGGAUUAGAUACCCCAGUAGUCC
rnacentral:rRNA from 1 species